CAGUCAUCAGCUGUUUCCAGUCCAGGCUGCCGAGCACUCGAAGAUGCCAAGUGAAAACUCGGUUUAUCACUUCAUCUUCACAACAAUAUCCAAGGAGAUUCCUUUUAAUUCCAGAAUUUUAAAAGGAUAACAGAUGGAGUUGUUGAAAGUAAAAUUUACAUUGAAGAAUAAUAUACACACACACACACACAACUUAAGCAGAUAUGUAACAAAUUUUAAAUGCCAAGCAGAUUUAAGGGAUUAGUCUGGUGGGCAACCUCUACCUGUCUGAAGUGUUGGGCAUCUGCCCCCACUUUGGCCUGGAUCGCUGUCUUCCUUCCUUCUCCUGGUUCCAGGUGUGCCACCCUCUCUACCCAGUUGCACACCCAUCCCUAGCUGGUCCCUUCCUGGUACCAGAUCUUACACCUUCACUGCCAAGUUCUCUGAGCUCCAGCCUCAGCAGCUCUCAUCUUGACAACAUUUACCCAAUGCACUAUUUUUUCCAUGUCAUUGUCACCGCCACUCCAGUCACUGAUUCCCACCCCCUUCCAUGGAAAUAACAGCCAGAGGUGCACUCUGGACCUCCGUGCUGCUGACACAGCCAUGCCACCUGCCAUGGCACCCAGAGGAGGGUCACGGCCCACUGGGAACAUCGUGGGAGGUGAAUCCCUCCCCAGCUGUGCACUGCGGCUGAAUUGAUUUUUACAAUUUAAUUAUUUCUGUACUUAGUGCCUUAUGGAUUGAAGCAGAGGCAGAUCCUGCAGAAACGCCUGUAAAUCUUGGCAGAACAGAGGAGUUUGUGGCCUGGGCUAUGUUAUAAGGCUCUUCCUGGAAAGGUGCCAUAACAGGUGCUCUGUGAAAAGGAAAACUAUCUCCAAAGGGAGAGAGAGCCAUGGGGUUGUCUCCAGACACCCAUCACCUCCAAGAAAGCAUGGAUCUCUAGAGUUUGAUGUGCCCUUUGGGGGCUGCUAAAAGCUCCAGAAGCCUCUGUGAGUUUGCAAGAACAGACAGAACCAAGUUGUCCUCCCAAGAAGGAGAAGGAGAACUGGGACUGAGAGCCACGGGUAAGCCCCUGCCUGGGUUAAAACCCUGAAAUACACCUGUGCCAGUGGGGACGGUUCCCAGCAUCCAGAACCUCCAGGUAAUCCAGCCCGUGAAUUAACCCCUGACUCAGCAGGGGCCCCCAGGCACCUGUCAUGAUGAGUUGGUGCUUUGUAAUUGCUUCCUAAAGAUUUGAGAAAGAGGAAAGACAGAAAACAGUGCAACUGCAAAUUCCCUGGGCUGGAGGGAAGGAGGGGGCCUGGCUCUGGGUUGCAGCCAGAAGCCCAGGGAGGAGAAAUGUGUCAGUGGCGGUUUCUGAGCUCGUGAGCCAUUUGCUGGCACGUCUGUUAUCCAUCACACAUUUGGACAGAAUUCUGGCCUUGCCCAAGGUUAAGUUGACUUGCCAGAGCAAGGGGAAUGGCAUGUGCUUGCGACAGAUGCCCGUGCUUUGAGGUUCCAGGUGGUCAGGAGCCCUGCUUGUCCCAGAGAGGACAUGUUCCAGCUGAGACACAGCCUGGAGAGGAGUAUGGAGCAUUCGACGUGAGAUCGGGAGCCACAGAGAUGGCAGUCCCAGGCCCAGCCAGCCAUUCCCGUGGUGCUUCAAUUCGAG